CCUGUUCGAGCGUCAUUACACCCCUCAAGCCUCGCUUGGUAUUGGGCGACGGGACACCCCGCGCCUCAAUUUCGCCGGCUGGACGGACCCGAUCUCAGCGUUGUGGCACACAAAUCCGCUGGCGAGAAGGGACGGCCGGGCCGCUAAACACCCCAUCAAAGGUUGACCUCGGAUCAGGUAGGGAUACCCGCUGAACUUAA
rnacentral:misc_RNA from 1 species